rnacentral:rRNA from 1 species
ACUUUAUACUGUGAAACUGCGAAUGGCUCAUUAAAUCAGUUAUCGUUUAUUUGAUAGUACCUUACUACAUGGAUACCUGUGGUAAUUCUAGAGCUAAUACAUGCUAAAAACCCCGACUUCAGGAAGGGGUGUAUUUAUUAGAUAAAAAACCAACGCCCUUCGGGGCUCCUUGGUGAAUCAUAAUAACUUAACGAAUCGCAUGGCCUUGCGCCGGCGAUGGUUCAUUCAAAUUUCUGCCCUAUCAACUUUCGAUGGUAGGAUAGUGGCCUACCAUGGUGGCAACGGGUAACGGGGAAUUAGGGUUCGAUUCCGGAGAGGGAGCCUGAGAAACGGCUACCACAUCCAAGGAAGGCAGCAGGCGCGCAAAUUACCCAAUCCCGAUACGGGGAGGUAGUGACAAUAAAUACUGAUACGGGGCUCUUUUGGGUCUCGUAAUUGGAAUGAGAACAAUUUAAAUCCCUUAACGAGGAACAAUUGGAGGGCAAGUCUGGUGCCAGCAGCCGCGGUAAUUCCAGCUCCAAUAGCGUAUAUUAAAGUUGUUGCAGUUAAAAAGCUCGUAGUUGAACCUUGGGUCUGGCUGGCCGGUCCGCCUCACCGCGAGUACUGGUCCGGCUGGACCUUUCCUUCUGGGGAACCUCAUGGCCUUCACUGGCUGUGGGGGGAACCAGGACUUUUACUGUGAAAAAAUUAGAGUGUUCAAAGCAGGCCUUUGCUCGAAUACAUUAGCAUGGAAUAAUAGAAUAGGACGUGCGGUUCUAUUUUGUUGGUUUCUAGGACCGCCGUAAUGAUUAAUAGGGAUAGUCGGGGGCGUCAGUAUUCAGCUGUCAGAGGUGAAAUUCUUGGAUUUGCUGAAGACUAACUACUGCGAAAGCAUUCGCCAAGGAUGUUUUCAUUAAUCAGGGAACGAAAGUUAGGGGAUCGAAGACGAUCAGAUACCGUCGUAGUCUUAACCAUAAACUAUGCCGACUAGGGAUCGGACGGGAUUCUAUGAUGACCCGUUCGGCACCUUACGAGAAAUCAAAGUUUUUGGGUUCUGGGGGGGAGUAUGGUCGCAAGGCUGAA